rnacentral:pre_miRNA from 1 species
AUAACAUUCGGACCGUCGGUCUACCGAGCAAUUCCACCCGCUCGGUGGAAGAUCUUCCCUUCGUCAU